rnacentral:rRNA from 1 species
GAUGAACGCUGGCGGCGUAGCCUAACACAUGCAAGUCGAACGAAGUUAUCGAAAGGAAAUUUUCGGAUGGAAUUUUGGUAUACUUAGUGGCGGACGGGUGAGUAACGCGUGAGCAACCUGCCUUUCAGAGGGGGACAACAGUUGGAAACGACUGCUAAUACCGCAUAACACAUCGAGGGGGCAUCCCUGAAUAACCAAAGAUUUAUUGCUGAAAGAUGGUCUCGCGUCUGAUUAGCUAGUUGGCGGGGUAACGGCCCACCAAGGCGACGAUCAGUAGCCGGUCUGAGAGGAUGAACGGCCACAUUGGGACUGAGAUACGGCCCAGACUCCUACGGGAGGCAGCAGUGGGGAAUAUUGGGCAAUGGGGGAAACCCUGACCCAGCAACGCCGCGUGAAGGAAGAAGGCCUUCGGGUUGUAAACUUCUUUUACCAGGGACGAAGAAAGUGACGGUACCUGGAGAAAAAGCAACGGCUAACUACGUG